CUUGUACUCCCUCCGUCCCAUAUUAAGUGACUCAAAUUUGCCCAAAUAUGGAUGUAUGUAUGCCUAAAAAGUGUCUAGAUACAUGUAAUAGAAAGUCAGUUAAUAUGGGACGGAGGGAGUAUGAU
rnacentral:pre_miRNA from 1 species